AGGUUUAGUUGCUCUCAGGCAUGGAAGAUAAAGGGCACCUACUGAACACUUCCCGUCUGGAGCUACAUGUAGCAUAAAGAGAGAAUGAACCUACAGGAGCUCAUCAUUAAUAUAAGUGUUGUUCCACUUCACAGUUGACCAAGAACUACUGUCACCACUGCCAAUGACAAGUGUGUAACUAAAGGCACACAUGCUCUUAGGAUGGACACCUGUAAGCCAAAGAGAGAACGACUGGCAGGACCAUCAACUACUAUUUAAAUGCUACAGUUACGAACUGAAUUUGAAAAGGCAACUUGAAGCCAGAGAAGAGAGCAGGAUAUUGCCAUGACAAGCUCUUGGAAGAAUUAUUUUAG
rnacentral:lncRNA from 1 species